rnacentral:rRNA from 1 species
AUUGAACGCUGGCGGCAGGCCUAACACAUGCAAGUCGAGCGGAUGAAGGGAGCUUGCUCCUGGAUUCAGCGGCGGACGGGUGAGUAAUGCCUAGGAAUCUGCCUGGUAGUGGGGGAUAACGUCCGGAAACGGGCGCUAAUACCGCAUACGUCCUGAGGGAGAAAGUGGGGGAUCUUCGGACCUCACGCUAUCAGAUGAGCCUAGGUCGGAUUAGCUAGUUGGUGGGGUAAAGGCCUACCAAGGCGACGAUCCGUAACUGGUCUGAGAGGAUGAUCAGUCACACUGGAACUGAGACACGGUCCAGACUCCUACGGGAGGCAGCAGUAGGGAAUAUUGGGCAAUGGGCGAAAGCCUGAUCCAGCCAUGCCGCGUGUGUGAAGAAGGUCUUCGGAUUGUAAAGCACUGUAAGUUGGGAGGAAGGGCAGUAAGUUAAUACCUUGAUGUUUUGACGUUACCAACAGAAUAAGCACCGGCUAACUGCGUG